rnacentral:rRNA from 1 species
CUCCUACGGGAGGCAGCAGUGAGGAAUAUUGGUCAAUGGGCGAGAGCCCGAACCAGCCAAGUAGCGUGCAGGAUGACGGCCCUAUGGGUUGUAAACUGCUUUUAUAAGGGAAUAAAGUGAGUCUCGUGAGACUUUUUGCAUGUACCUUAUGAAUAAGGACCGGCUAAUUCCGUGCCAGCAGCCGCGGUAAUACGGAAGGUCCGGGCGUUAUCCGGAUUUAUUGGGUUUAAAGGGAGCGUAGGCCGGAGAUUAAGCGUGUUGUGAAAUGUAGACGCUCAACGUCUGCACUGCGGCGCGAACUGGUUUCCUUGAGUACGCACAAAGUGGGCGGAAUUCGUGGUGUAGCGGUGAAAUGCUUAGAUAUCACGAAGAACUCCGAUUGCGAAGGCAGCUCACUGGAGCGCAACUGACGCUGAAGCUCGAAAGUGCGGGUAUCGAACAGGAUUAGAUACCCUGGUAGUCCGCACGGUAAACGAUGGAUGCCCGCUGUUGGUCUGAAUAGGUCAGCGGCCAAGCGAA